UACGUAGGGUGCGAGCGUUGUCCGGAAUUAUUGGGCGUAAAGAGCUCGUAGGCGGCUCGUUGCGUCGGCUGUGAAAACCCACAGCUUAACUGUGGGCCUGCAGCCGAUACGGGCGAGCUAGAGUUCGGUAGGGGAGACUGGAAUUCCUGGUGUAGCGGUGAAAUGCGCAGAUAUCAGGAGGAACACCGGUGGCGAAGGCGGGUCUCUGGGCCGAUACUGACGCUGAGGAGCGAAAGCGUGGGGAGCGAAACAGG
rnacentral:rRNA from 1 species